rnacentral:lncRNA from 1 species
CAGGGAGUCAGAGGUUAAAGAAACAAACACUUACAUGAGUGUAACUAAAGACCCAGGGAACUGGGAAUGUGUGCCUUUAGUUUUAACCCAUAUAUGCUGGGUUCACUGUAGGGGAACCGAUAUCAGGGCUGAUAUUAACUAAGAGCCAGUGACAAUGCUCCCAUUCAGAAUACCUAUAGCUCACUAAACUUCUUCAUUUCGUGAAGACAAUUUUGUCAUGUGACAUGGCUGCUAUAUGGAUUGGAUAGUUCAUCGAAUUGGAGUGUCAAAAUUUGAUCUUCUUUAGACGCAGAAAAGCCAUCCAAAGGUCCUUCUGGUUGUGCCAUGUGGGAUGCCGCCUCAGCAUGGCCUGAUGAGCGGUGCCAUAUCCGCGCCCAGGAUGCGAACCAGUGAAACCCUGGGCCACCAAAGUGGAACGCGGGGACUUAACCACUUGGCCUCAGGGCCAGCCCGCUCUGCAGACGGGUGCAUCCCUGGCAGGCGCCACCCUCCUCUCUGCAGGGUCGGGCGGCCUCUUCGGGGAGAGCAGUCACUCGCUGAGGGGAUCCGCAGUUUCCGGUGACGACCCUCCAGUGUUCUGAUAGCCUCAGUCUACACUGUGUCAGAAAGCGCUGGGGGAACUGUGUUUCUUGCAGACAGAGGCUGGGCAGAGUGCGGACCCUUGCAAGCGGAAGCCCUGUGAGAUAAGUGUCAACACUCCUGCCAUGGUCAUUUUCAAGCUGCCAAUGUGAAGUGCUGACUACAGAACUGGGAACUGACGCGAGACAACCCCAGCGCCAGGCCAGUGUUGUCUGGGUCGGGAGGAGCUCCGAGGAGGAGUAGAAAUGCCCCAGCAGUCUUGUUUCUCUGUGUUGUUGUCCUCGUAGUUUGUUUGCUCUGCUUAAGAGGAUGGA